AUUGAACGCUGGCGGAAUGCUUUACACAUGCAAGUCGAACGGCAGCACGGACUUCGGUCUGGUGGCGAGUGGCGAACGGGUGAGUAAUAUAUCGGAACGUGCCCAGUCGUGGGGGAUAACGUAGUGAAAAUUACGCUAAUACCGCAUACGAUCUACGGAUGAAAGCGGGGGAUCGCAAGACCUCGCGCGAUUGGAGCGGCCGAUAUCAGAUUAGGUAGUUGGUGAGGUAAAGGCUCACCAAGCCAACGAUCUGUAGCUGGUCUGAGAGGACGACCAGCCACACUGGGACUGAGACACGGCCCAGACUCCUACGGGAGGCAGCAGUGGGGAAUUUUGGACAAUGGACGCAAGUCUGAUCCAGCCAUUCCGCGUGCAGGACGAAGGCCUUCGGGUUGUAAACUGCUUUUGUACAGAACGAAAAGGUUUCUAUUAAUACUAGGGGCUCAUGACGGUACUGUAAGAAUAAGCACCGGCUAACUACGUGCCAGCAGCCGCCGUAA
rnacentral:rRNA from 1 species